rnacentral:misc_RNA from 1 species
UUUCUUUACAUCAGUCACUCUAGGUGUAUUGAUACUGAUUGUCGUCUUGGAUAUUGUGGUGGUAAGCAUAACCAUGGUCAUACAACGACGAAAAAGAAACAAUCUUGAAGAUUUACCCGAUCAAAGGGAUAUGAGACCAAUCGCAAAUCCAACAGACUGAAUACAGCAGUAAAAAAAAUCUUUCAAGACCCAUGACAAUAAAGCCAAUGAUAAAUCUUAUUAUCUAUUAACUUAUUAUUUUUAUACCAUAAAUUCUUAAUCAUAUUUCAGGCACGUAGCAUCAGGGGAAACAAAAAUUUAAUUAACAUGCUGCCCCCCCCCCCCCCACACACACACUUUUAUGGGACCAUGUAAAAAUUGAAUUGAUAAUAAGUAAAUGAACAGUGAAAUUGAAGUGAAAGGUAUACCCCCCCCCCCCACGAAAAUUAACUUUUACUGUAAAAUAACUUUUUUUUUUUGCUUGUCAAGAUUUUUUUGGAUUAGUCUGCCCCCCCCCCCCUUUCAAAAACAAUGCUACGUGCCUUUAUUUUGUAUUGCAUAAUUUAUAAUUGUUCUGUAUAAAAAUAUGUGUAUGUAGUUUGUUUCUUCUGUUGUUUUGUUGAAUAACUAUAUCAAGUAUUUCCAUAUGAAUUAAAAAAAAUAAUUAUACAUGUAAUAAGAUUUCAUACAAGUAUCUUUAGUGUAGGUUAGUGUAAGUUUUUAUUUGGUUUAUUUUUAUGAAGAAGUUGAACCACUGAGAUUAGUUUUUAAACAAUAAAUUACCAAUGUUGU